AGCCAACUCCUAAAGCAUAGAUGGAGCUCUGUGAGGGCUUCAUCGCUCCAGGGCCCCCAGCCCUUUAGGGCAGAAUAUCCAGGGUCUGUCCUCAGAGGGCAGGGUUUCUUUGUGAGUCGCCACCCUCAGCCACUUUCCCGGGCUAUUCUGAGCUCCACCAGCUUCUGCUCUGUUUCUUCCAGCCACCCCUCCUCGUGCAAGGACAUAAAUGGAAUGUUUGGGGCAGGCUAGCUCAGGCCACUAAGAGGACCCAAGAGAAUACAAUGUGAUUUGGUAUUCUUGUUGAAUUCUGCCUUUGAAAAUCAGUUUCAUUUAUCACAAAUUCUCAGUGGUUCUCUCACCCUCAGCAGUAACCUCCCUUUCUGAGAUUUCAAGUUUUCACUAAUGUGCCUAAGUGAUGAAGAACCAAUAUGUGGAAUGUGCAAGCUCUUUGGGGACCACAAGACUCACCCAGUAGCCAAGAUUUCUGAUGCCUAUGCAGAGAGGAAAGUGAACUUUGCUAAGGAUAUUCAGCUGGUGCUGCAGAAAUCUGAGAGCGCGGCACAGGCAGUACAGGAGACAUGGGUUCAAUCCCUGGUCCAGGAGGAUCCCACAUGCCAUGGAGCAACUACGCCCGUGUGCCACAGCUAUUGAACCUGUGUUCUAGAGUCUGGAAACCGCAACCACUGAGCCCUCAAGCCGAAACUACUGAAGCCCACAAGCCCUAGAGCCUGUACUCUGCAACAAGAGAAGCCACUGCAGUAAGAACCCCGUGCACUGCAACCACAGUAGCCACCACUCACUGCAACUAGAGAGAAGUCUGCACAGCCAAUAAAUA
ensembl:lncRNA